rnacentral:SRP_RNA from 2 species
GGCCUAGCAACGUGGGCCUGUAACCCAAGUGGGGGCAUGUGGGAGAUGGGACUUUGGGUCAGCCCAUUGGAUCGGGUCCAGUGUUAGCUGCUUGCUGGUCUGCCCAUUCCAAGCCGAGAGUUGGGCUGUGUGAUCUGGGCGAAGGCUGGGGUCGCACAGCUCCUAAAGAGGAGGGCAAUGCGUGAGGCUGGUUUCACAGAGCAGCGACCACCUCCCGCUCUCGGCAGUGGAAGGAUAACGGGUCGGUGCUACUUGGGCCACCAUGGUCACUGCAUGCACUCUUAAUCAGACCAUCUCUUUU